rfam:Dipodomys ordii contig_61246, whole genome shotgun sequence.
GGUGGCUCAGUGGUAGAGCGCUUGCCUUGUAUGCAUGAGUCCCUGAGUUCAAUUCCUCAGCACCA